CCUCACGGGCGUUAGAA
rnacentral:rRNA from 7 species